UUAACGGAGAGUUUGAUCCUGGCUCAGGAUGAACGCUGGCGGCAUGCCUAAUACAUGCAAGUCGCGCGGGGGUCUUCGGACCCUAGCGGCGAACGGGUGAGUAACACGUGGGCAACCUGCCCGUAAGACUGGGAUAACUCCGGGAAACCGGUGCUAAUACCAGA
rnacentral:ncRNA from 1 species